CGAGCUAUCAAUCAGUAUUUUAUUACAGAAGAACAGAUUUUCACAUUAUGGACUGCGUGUGUUUCAGUAGUCGUCUAGUCCCGAGUGAAGGUGUACAGGUUGAGACGCCAACGGUCUCCGGGGUGGAUGGCAAGGCAGGUGCACAGGGAAAGACGCCAUUCACUCUGCCCAGCUGGAUGCUCAGGAAAAAGAGCGUGAGAGGCAAUCUCAAUUCCAGCUUCAGCUGGAGGGGAGGAAGCUGGAAAAUGAGGCUGACAAGGCAGUGAGGCUGCGGAAACUUGAAAUCGAGGUUCCCGAAAUGGGACGGGGGCGGAGCGCUCACGAUGACUCAGAUUCACCAGGGUUGGAGACUGAGGCGGAGUGCACAGUUAUUCCUGCUCAGGAUGCGGCUGCAGAGGGAACGCUCCUGGCUGAGCAGGAUAUACCGACAGUCUGUGUGGUGGCACUUCUAGUCAGUCGAGAUGGUCU